rnacentral:rRNA from 1 species
UACGAAGGGGGCUAGCUUUGCUCGGAAUCACUGGGCGUAAAGGGUGCGUAGGCGGGUCUUUAAGUCAGGGGUGAAAUCCUGGAGCUCAACUCCAGAACUGCCUUUGAUACUGAGGAUCUUGAGUUCGGGAGAGGUGAGUGGAACUGCGAGUGUAGAGGUGAAAUUCGUAGAUAUUCGCAAGAACACCAGUGGCGAAGGCGGCUCACUGGCCCGAUACUGACGCUGAGGCACGAAAGCGUGGGGAGCAAACAGG